rnacentral:rRNA from 1 species
UACGGAGGGUGCAAACGUUGCUCGGAAUCAUUGGGCGUAAAGCGCACGUAGGCGGCUCGAUAAGUCGGAUGUGAAAGCCCUGGGCUCAACCCAGGAAGUGCAUACGAAACUGCCGAGCUUGAAUAUGGAAGAGGGUCGCGGAAUUCCCGGUGUAGAGGUGAAAUUCGUAGAUAUCGGGAGGAACACCAGUGGCGAAGGCGGCGACCUGGGCCAAUAUUGACGCUGAGGUGCGAAAGCGUGGGGAGCAAACAGG